rnacentral:rRNA from 1 species
CCUACGGGAGGCAGCAGUGGGGAAUAUUGGACAAUGGGGGGAACCCUGAUCCAGCCAUGCCGCGUGUGUGAAGAAGGCCCUCGGGUUGUAAAGCACUUUCAGUGAGGAAGAACGCCUGGUGGUUAAUACCCAUCAGGAAAGACAUCACUCACAGAAGAAGCACCGGCUAACUCCGUGCCAGCAGCCGCGGUAAUACGGAGGGUGCGAGCGUUAAUCGGAAUUACUGGGCGUAAAGCGCGCGUAGGUGGCUUGAUAAGCCGGUUGUGAAAGCCCCGGGCUCAACCUGGGAACGGCAUCCGGAACUGUCAAGCUAGAGUGCAGGAGAGGAAGGUAGAAUCCCCGGUGUAGCGGUGAAAUGCGUAGAGAUCGGGAGGAAUACCAGUGGCGAAGGCGGCCUUCUGGACUGACACUGACACUGAGGUGCGAAAGCGUGGGUAGCAAACAGGAUUAGAUACCCUGGUAGUC